UCCAAUCAGUAACAAGGGUUUAUUCGUUUAUCAAUCUAGUAUAUGUUGAAUUGAAUAUGUUAAGUGUGCAAAUGAAGGUUACUCCUUCUGUCUUAUUAUAGUUUUCAAAACAAGACUUUUAUUUUAUUUAUUUAUUUUUUAAAAUAAAGCGAAUAAUUUCAAUUUUGUGGUGGGUCCCACCCAUUACUAUCAUUUUUUUUUCCAAAAGAAAAAACACAGAAGUGGGACAACCAAAUGAAAAGAUUGACGAAAUGGCACGAUUAUUCUGUUUAUUUAUAAUUUCCCAAACCUAGAAGGCUCUACAAUCCUUGGAGUGAGAAAUGGAAGUGGGUGGCCGACAAGCAGAGAGAGGUUAGACAGAGCAAAAGUAUCAUUCCUUGGUUAUCGUCGCAGGAGAUAUUGGCACCGCAUCAUCCUCUCUCCUGUUCGGCCUCCCGAGGAUGAGUAGUGGUUUGUGGGUGCCAAUACUCCUGUGACCGAAAAGCAAGGAAUGGAGAUCGGAGGCGGUUUCAGGCGAAGCCGAAUCCGCUAAAGCAGGAUCUCUCUAUCUCCAACUUCAUUUAUAUAGGUUUGUGGGUGCCAAUACUCCUGUGACCGAAAAGCAAGGAAUGGACAUCGGAGGCGUUUCAGGCGAAGCCGAAUCCGCUAAACCUCCAACUUCAUUUGUAUGUAUGUAUGUGAUAUUCUCUUGCUGUCUUUUUAUCCUCUAAUAUUUUGUGAAUUUUGUUUUUUUA